rnacentral:tRNA from 1 species
UAGCUCAGUGGUAGAGCACCUGCCUGGCACGCAGGAGGCUCUGGGUUCAGUCCCUAA